GACGGAAGGUGCAAGCGUUGCUCGGAAUCACUGGGCGUAAAGGGUGCGUAGGCGGCCGUGCAAGUCUGGCGUGAAAGCCCCGGGCUCAGCCCGGGAAGUGCGCUCGAAACUGCGCGGCUCGAGUGCCGGAGGGGAGAGUGGAAUUCCUGGUGUAGCGGUGAAAUGCGUAGAUAUCGGAAGGAACAUCAGUGGCGAAAGCGGCUUCCUGGUCCAGCACCGACGUUCAGGCACGAAAGCGUGGGGAGCAAACAGG
rnacentral:rRNA from 1 species